rnacentral:SRP_RNA from 1 species
GGUUAGGUCCUGCGCAAGAAGGCGUCGCGAACUCCGUCAGGUCCGGAAGGAAGCAGCGGUACCGACUGUCCUCCUGUGCCGCAGGGCACCCUAGCCGUC